AUUGAACGCUGGCGGCAUGCCUAACACAUGCAAGUCGAACGGCAGCACAAUAAAGAUUUCGGUCUUUAAGGGUGGCGAGUGGCGGACGGGUGAGUAACGCGUAGGAAUCUGUCCUGGAGAGUGGGAUAACCCGAGGAAACUCGGGCUAAUACUGCAUGACAUUGAGAGAUCAAAAGCAGGGGACCGAAAGGCCUUGCGCUCUGGGGUGAGCCUACGUCGGAUUAGCUAGUUGGUGGGGUAAAGGCCUACCAAGGCGACGAUCCGUAGCUGGUCUGAAAGGAUGAACAGCCACACUGGGACUGAGACACGGCCCAGACUCCUACGGGAGGCAGCAGUGGGGAAUCUUGGACAAUGGGGGAAACCCUGAUCCAGCGAUGCCGCGUGUGUGAAGUAGGCCUUCGGGUUGUAAAGCACUUUAGGUGGGGAAGAAAGGUAGCGAGUGAAUAACUUUCUGCUGUGACGGUACCCACAGAAUAGGCACCGGCUAACUCUGUGCCAGCCGCCGCAGUAA
rnacentral:rRNA from 1 species